rnacentral:tRNA from 1 species
GUCUCCGGAGUGUGGCGGAUGGCACGCAACUCUGCGAAGGUUGAAGACCAGGUUCGACUCCUGGCGGGGACA